ensembl:lncRNA
GUACAGCCAGUGAUACUUUAAAAUAUGUGAUGUUUGCUGAUGAUACAAACUUAGUUUGCUCAGGAAAAGACAUAAAGAAAUUACUGAAAACAGUGGAAACAGAACUCAUGAAGUUAAAUAGAUGGUUUGUGUCACGGUUUGCCGGGGGCAAGCCGUGUGGAGUUGUAGAAAAGGACCCAAAAGGCGGCAGCUCUGGUGCAUGUGAAUAUUUAUUUACCACGGUGGGUACAAAACAGCACUGGUGGAAAAACAAGAAACCGGAAACCUAAACUGGGUAAGCUAAUAACACAAACCAGAAACGAGGAUGCAGGGAGGUCCGGGGAAAUACAUACGGAGAGACGCAGGGAGACCGAGGGGAAACAACACAGACGAACCAGCAAUUACUAUGACAGAAGACACAACUUAAAUACACUCAGAGAACACAGGGAGAUUACAUACAGGUGGGAACACAGCUGGGAGUGAUUAACAUGACGAGACUAGGGAGGCAACUGAAAACACUCACAUAAGACACAGACCUUCACAAUAAAACAGGAACUUACACAAGAAAAGACACAAACUAAGAAACGCGGACUAGAUACAGGAACACACGGGCAGAACAGAGUAAACACUAACCAGAGAAAGAACAGAACCACAAUCACGAAGAGAAAACACAAAACGCUGGGUCAAAAGGACCCAGGAUCAUGACAGUACCCCCCCGUCAAGGGCUGGCCCCAGACAGCCCAACACAAGAACACCAAAGCAAAAAAAAAAAGAAAAGAAAAGAAAAGAAAAAAAAAAAGAAAGAAAACCGCCCAAAGCAGAAAACAACCUGACCAGGGCGGGCGGCGGGGGACUCAGGAAGGAGGGCUCGAGGCAAAACAAAAACAGGAGCACCAGAAGGCCAAAAGACAAAAAAACAAAGAAACAAAACACGAGGCCAAAGACCAAAAGAAAAGAAGCACACCAAAGCACAGGAACACAGAGACCAAAACCAAAAGAAAAAGACCAAUAAAACAAAACACACCAUAGCCCAAGGAAAAUGGAGACCAAAACAGAAAGGUCCAGGGGGCCGGCCAGGGGGCCGACAGCACAGGAGUCCAAGACAAAAGAGUUCAGGGGGCCGACCAUGCGGACGGCAACGGCGUGGAUACAGUUCGGGAGGCCGGCCGUGUGGAUGGCAACGGCGGCGACGUGGAUACAGUUCGGGAGGCCGGCCGUGCGGAAGGCAACGGCGGCCACUCAGGCGAUGGCGGUCCGGGGGCCGGCCGUGCGGAAGGCAGCGGCGGCCACUCAGGCGAAGAGGGUCCGGGGGCCGGCCGUGUGGAAGGCAGCGGUGGCCACUCAGGCGAAGGAGACGACGGAGCAGUUCAGGGGGCCGACCGCGCGGAAGGCAGCGGCGGCGACGAAGGAGACGACGGAGCAGUUCAGGGGGCCGACCGCGCGGAAGGCAGCGGCGGCGCUCCAGCGUCAAGCGUACUGGCCGAGGCCCAGUGGGCACAGGACCAGACGAGGCAGGCGAUGACGGGGCCGGACCAGGCGGGGCUGCAGAGGCUGGACCAGGCGAAGCACAGGCCGGAGCCGGACCAGGCGUGGCUGGACCAGACGAGGACGAAGACUCGGAUGAAGCCGGACCAGGCGAAGCACAGGCGGAGGCUGGACCAGACGAGGCUGAAGGCUCGGAGGCUGGGCCAGGCGAGGCGGAAGACUCGGAGGCUGGGCCAGGCGAGGAUGAUGAUGAAGCUGCAGCCGGCGGCUGGACGGGCUCCUCGGGCCCCCCAGCUGAUGAGGCAGGAAGCUGGACGGGCUCCUCGGGCCCUCCAGUUGACGAGGCAGGAAGCAAGGGCCGGAGUGGUCCCUCGGACCCUCCAGCGGAGACAUGAGACGAAAACUGGAGCGGUCCCUCGGACCCUCCAGCGGAGACAUGAGACGAAAACUGGAGCGGUCCCUCGGACCCUCCAGCGGAGACAUGAGACGAAGGCCGGAGCGGUCCCUCGGACCCUCCAGCGGAGACAGGAGACGAAGGCCAGAGCGGUCCCUCGGACCCUCCAGUGGAGACUAGAGACAAAGGCCGGAGCGGUCCCUCGGACCCUCCAGCGGAGACUAGAGACGAAGGCCGGAGCGGUCCCUCGGACCCUCCAGCAGAAGUCAUCACUAAGCCAGCAGUCAUGGAGUCCUCUGGCAAACACGAAGGCAACUGGCAAUGCACUGAGCACGGGCUCUGCACAGGCAAUGCUGACAUGGCGCAGUUCUCAGUUAGCUGCUUAGACUUCAGGGGUCCAGAAUCAGCCGGGGACUGAGACCUAGCCUCUGGGGAAGCCCUGGAGCGGCAAACUGUGCCAAUGGCGGCUGAACCAUGAAAAGCACCUUGAGGUGAAAUUAGACUUUCUCCCUGCAUGGAGUGAAUGAGUGAAACCGGUGAUACUGGAGCCAGAGCUACGGGUAGCGGGGGCACUGGAGCUACGGGGGCCUGCGCUACAGGCGGC